AUUGAACGCUGGCGGCAGGCCUAACACAUGCAAGUCGAGCGGAUGAAGGGAGCUUGCUCCUGGAUUCAGCGGCGGACGGGUGAGUAAUGCCUAGGAAUCUGCCUGGUAGUGGGGGAUAACGUCCGGAAACGGGCGCUAAUACCGCAUACGUCCUGAGGGAGAAAGUGGGGGAUCUUCGGACCUCACGCUAUCAGAUGAGCCUAGGUCGGAUUAGCUAGUUGGUGGGGUAAAGGCCUACUAAGGCGACGAUCCGUAACUGGUCUGAGAGGAUGAUCAGUCACACUGGAACUGAGACACGGUCCAGACGCCUACGGGAGGCAGCAGUGGGGAAUAUUGGACAAUGGGCGAAAGCCUGAUCCAGCCAUGCCGCGUGUGUGAAGAAGGUCUUCGGAUUGUAAAGCACUUUAAGUUGGGAGGAAGGGCAGUAAGUUAAUACCUUGCUGUUUUGACGUUACCAACAGAAUAAGCACCGGCUAACUUCGUG
rnacentral:rRNA from 1 species